GGGGAUAUAGCUCAGGUGGUAGAGUGCUUGCCUGGCAAGCACAAGGCCCUGGGUUCAAUCCCCAGUACCACACA